rnacentral:rRNA from 1 species
AUACGUAGGGGGCGAGCGUUGUCCGGAAUGAUUGGGCGUAAAGGGCGCGUAGGCGGCCCGGUAAGUCUGGAGUGAAAGUCCUGUUUUUAAGAUGGGAAUUGCUUUGGAUACUGUCGGGCUUGAGUGCAGGCGAGGUAAGUGGAAUUCCCAGGGUAGCGGUGAAAUGCGUAGAGAUUGGGAGGAACACCAGUGGCGAAGGCGACUUACUGGACUGUAACUGACGCUGAGGCGCGAAAGUGUGGGGAGCAAACAGGAUUAGAUACCCUGGUAGUCCACACUGUAAACGAUGAAUGCUAGGUGUAGGGGGUAUCGACCCCUUCUGUGCCGCAGUCAACACAACAAGCAUUCCGCCUGGGGAGUACAGCCGCAAGGUUGAAACUCAAAGGAAUUGACGGGG